AUGGCGGCGAGCAAGGGCGCGAGGAAGAGCCUGGUGUCGAGGACCCUGGAGCGGUGCAGGUCCGCGCUGAACAGCGGCGGCCGGUCGUCCGCGGCGGUGGCGCCGGGGUGCUUCUCGGUGUACGUGGGGCCGGAGUGGGAGCGGUUCGAGGUGCGCGCCGACCGCGCCGACCACCCGCUCUUCCGGCGCCUCCUCGACGACGCCGAGCAGGAGUACGGCUACGCGGCGCAGGGGCCCCUCGCCCUGCCCUGCGCCGUCGACGCCUUCCUCGACGUGCUCUGGCACAUGGACCACGACGUUCACAUGACGACGACGGCGAGGUCGCCGCGGCGCCGUCAUCGCCGAUAUGCGGCCUGCAGCGCGCCGGCAGCGGGAACGGCAAGAAAUGAAAAGGAAGACUUUGCACAGUUGGCGGAGUGGCACUGGCAGCACCGCGUGCCUCUGCCGUACCCCGACGUCACCUUGCCGCACGACUGGCAUCUGGAUCCAGAGAGGAUCCCGGUGCCGGCGGUGCCGCGGUCGGCUAGGGCGCACGCGGAGGAGGUGCGGCGCCGUCGAGCGCUGCUGACGCCGGAGCAGCGCCGCGACGACACAUACGCCAUCAACUCGUCGAACUGGAAGCGGUGGUUCGCCUUCGAGCACGAGGAGGCGAGGCGCCGCGGCAUGCGCGAGGUCGACCGCAGCCUGUCGCCGCCCCUGCUCGUCGUCCGCGAGGAGGACCAGGCGGCCCUUGCGGCAGUCUACCGCGAGAGCGAAGAGGACGAGCGGAGCAGGGUGGAGGCGGCGGAGGAAGAGGCGGCCAUGGCGCGGGCCAUUGCCCUCUUCGCGGCCGACGACUGUGUGGUGCCGCCUGUGGCCCCGCCGUCCCCUCCCCGUCGCCGCAUCAAGGCCUACCCGGAGCCGCAGCCGUCCCCGGUCGAGCGCUACACCUGGACGGGAGUACUGCGCGAGUGGGUGUCCGCGCCACCGGUUUGGAUGGGGGCGACGCCGGCGCAGGAGGCCGCCUACCUCGAGAUGUGGUGCCAGCGAUGGCUGGCCGAGGAGCGCCGUCGCGGCGAGUACGAGGAGAUGGUCGAGCACGACCUCUAG
rnacentral:rRNA from 1 species